ensembl:snRNA U6 U6 spliceosomal RNA
UGCUCGCUUCAGCAGCAAUAUACUAAAAUUGGAAUUAUACAGAGAAGAUUAGCAUGGCCCCUGAACCAGAAUGACAUGCACAUUUGUGGAAGCAUCUCAUAUUUUU